rnacentral:lncRNA from 1 species
CGAGUGCAUGAGCCACUUUCUUGCAUUAAAAAAUUAUUUGAUAGUGAUGUAGGACAAAACGAAUAUAGCAGUCGGUGUUUGUGAAGACUAGUCGCACAUAUUAUAUUAUGUUUUGAAAAAUUUGCGCAGUCGGAUGAAAAUAUGGCACGUUCACUAUUUGUUGAAGCGCACAGUUUUGAACUUGAAGUGCAUGAAUAAUAUCUUUAGUGGUGAUCAUGAUUCCGUAGGCUUCAGCUACAUGCAACGAAGUACAGGCAAUGAGUUGUCCAAAUUCUUUUCCUUAGAGCAUUCUAAAGACAAGCUUAUGACGACAUUUCACAAAUUGCCAAAAUAUCUUUUUCUCUUAUUGAACUGUACGAAUUGAGUUUCUCUUUGACGUUCCUUUUUUCCAGAAGGGUGUGCUACAUCACGCUCAAGGAGCAUACUACCGCAUUGGCACGUGCAGAUCAAUGGCACCAAGAACAAAGUUUCACUACUGCUUCCUGAUGUGACAUUCAUACAUCCUUUCUUAUGCACAAGGUUCACUAUGACCAUCAGGCAGUACCGCUACAUUGGUACAGACAGCUUGCACACUGGCUUUGGGGACGCCUGGGCAGAUAUCAUCAGAAGGUCCUCCCUGCUUGUGCUGUACAUCAAAUAAGAGAGAGAUUUCCAUCUGAAACUUACACUGGUUUCCAGUAUGCACACAAUUAAUAAGCCUUCUCAAUCAAAGAAAAAAAUGUACAUAUGUAAACACUAAUGACUUGAAUUUUGUAAAGGUAUACUGCAAAUGAAAGGAUUUCAAAAAGUAACAUGCCUAGGAAACCAUGAUUAUUCAAAAUUAAAAAUCGCAUCACUCCCCUUUCUUUCUUUUUUUUUUGCAACCACCAUUAUAUUGUUUUUAAUGUGCUCAUACUGCCUAUGAAGCAUACGUAAAAGCAAUGAAUAUAUUUGUGCACUUUGUCC